AAGUGGAUUCCUGAAGCUCCAGGUUUUAGGCCAAUCUAUAGAAAACCAGAGGCAAAAGCAGAAAAGGUGUGUGAUCUUAUUUCUUCAGAUGGCCUAACAUGGAAUAGCUAAGCUUUGCAGGAUAAUCUGUUACCGAUGGAUGAAAAGGCGGUGCGAAAAAUUCCCCUAGGGAAGCUGCGAGAAGAUCUUUGGGCCUGAAGUGCAGAAAAGCACGGAUGGGUGUUGUGCCAUACUUUGUGGGAUGUGGACAGUUUGGACAGCAAGAAAUAAAAGAAGCCAUGGCGAGAACUCUAUGAGCAUUUCUCAGGCUUGCAGAUGGGCUAGCGAUAUGGCCUCAGAUAGUCAGAUUUGAUGGAAGCAACUAAAAACCAACCAAAGGAAGAUAUUCCUAGCGUAAUUAAAUGGCGGCCUCCCCCUGUUGGUUUUUUGUUGGUUUUUUUAAGGUUGUUGCGGCAAGAAGCACAUGGUAUGACGCUGUCCCAAAUGUCAAUCACUGCCGAAGCCUAUGGUUGCAGGGAUGGAGUCAACCUAAUUUGUAAUUUAAACCUGAACCUGAAGGUGAUAUUGGGAACUGACAUGACAUUAUGGAAGACUAGAAAUGAUAACAGAUCUCGUAUUCUUUCAAUAUUGCAUCAAAUAGAAGAGUUAUGUAGAAUGUGUAUGUCUUUUGAAGUUAUUCAUGUAAAGAGAGAAGCAAAUAUGGCUGCACAUAUUACAGCAAAAAAUGCUUCUCCCUUGGUUGCUGUAAACACUUGGUUGUAUCAGGUACCUGAGUUCUUGAGGGCCUGUAUUCAGCAUGAUGCUCAUGCUGAUAAUGAGUAAUACUCCCUCCAUUUCACAAAGGAGAAUGGCACGCACACGUUUCAAGAUUUUACUUUGAUGAUUUGAUUCGUAUUUCAAAAACCUUUUCAACAAUAUAAAAUUUUAACAUAUAACCUACGUAUAUUUGUGUAAUUGUUGGUCGUAAGUUCGAUCUCAAAAAACGUGAGCAUCGUUCUUUGUAAAUGAAGGGAGUAAGGCUGUUGCUUUUCUUAAAAAAAAAAGUUGACGAAGGAGACAAGAGGACUCAGCAUCCAUCUUUAUUCAUAGAACCACCACCAACAAGAACACACGAGAGAUCGACAUAUACGCGCAACAACAAUGUAUCAUACAAAAAGAAUAAGCAAUAUGACGCCACAAACAAACCCACUCAAGACUCAACAGACAAGACACAACCAAAUCGCUACUACUACUGCUGCU